rnacentral:rRNA from 1 species
GNNUUGCGCAUGGCGCGACAGCCUGCGCACGACGCCGCGUGGGGGAUGAAGGUCUUCGGAUUGUAAACCCCUUUCGGCAGGGAAGAUGGAACGGGUAACCGUUCGGACGGUACCUGCAGAAGCAGCCACGGCUAACUUCGUGCCAGCAGCCGCGGUAAUACGAAGGUGGCAAGCGUUGUUCGGAUUUACUNGGGCGUACAGGGAGCGUAGGCGGUUGGGUAAGCCCUCCGUGAAAUCUCCGGGCCUAACCCGGAAAGUGCNGGAGGGGACNUGCUCGGCUAGAGGAUGGGAGAGGAGCGCGGAAUUCCCGGUGUAGCGGUGAAAUGCGUAGAGAUCGGGAGGAAGGCCGGUGGCGAAGGCGGCGCUCUGGAACAUUUCUGACGCUGAGGCUCGAAAGCGUGGGGAGCAAACAGGAUUAGAUACCCUGGUAGUCCACGCCUUAAACGAUGGAUACUAAGUGUCGGCGGGUUACCGCCGGUGCCGCAGCUAACGCAUUAAGUAUCCCGCCUGGGAAGUACGGCCGCAAGGUUGAAACUCAAAAAAAUUGACGGA